CGUUUCCUGAUGUGGCCCGUACUUACCACAAGCCAGCUCUCUUACUGUCUCCUCUACUGUACUCCAAGGCUGGGCUUUCAGUUCUCUAAAACAGCAAAGCCUACUCUCCUUUAGGGCAUUUGCUUCUGCCCACAUGCCGCUUCCAGACUUCUCACAACUCCUUCUCCUGGAAAGUACCCCCUUCCCCUUAACAGGCAGUUUGGUGGGGCAGGUGCCUUGUGCAUACCUACAUCGCUGCAUUCUGUUUGCUUGUCUUUCUCACUCACUGGAUUCUAAGUUUCCACAGGGCAACACCUGAUGAGUGAUCAGCAGUUACUGUUGUCAGAAGAGGUAAUGAAUGAGAGAGUGAAUGGGAAGCAGCCUCCAUGUAUUUGAUGCUGAUGUGGACAUCUCGUUUAUUUUCUCUCAUUGAAUCCUAACCAAGAUUUUAUGAGGUAGGCAUCAUUAUACCUCUUUUCCAGAGAAGGAGACAAAAGUCCAAUGAAUUCAGGAAUUUGGAUCACCCUCAAGAGCCCCCAAAACAUAGGCUGCAAAAAGGGCCUGGAUUCAUCUGCGUUGAAAUCCCAUGAGAAUUUUUACAGGUUGAACCAAAACAGAAUAAUGAAAUGAACCCUCCCGGGCAGGAGACAGGAAGGCAGAAGCAGACAUAAAAGAUUAUUUCUCUGCAUUAUUUGGCCUCUAUGGAGAGAACCAUGAUGAGCUUCUGGGAAAUGCAGUAUUGAUGUGACGUAAUAGCGAGGCUCCCCAGCCAGUGUACCCCCUGCCUAUGGAAUCUUGGCUGCCCCUCAGAGGAUGCUGAAGUGUGGAAGAGGCUUGGAUUUCAGACCAGACUGGCAGACUGAGAGCCUGUUCACAGACCAUUACUGACAGCAAAGACUUUCUGUUUGUCACACCAAAACUCCGUUCAGCGUGUGAGACCAGGAGCUUGGAGGCAGCAUCUUCACCAUG